GUCUAUGGCUGUGCCACCCUGAACAAGCCCGAUGUCUGAUCUUGGAAGCUAAGCAGGGUCGGGCCUGGUUAGUACUUGGAUGGGAGACCACCUAGGAAGACAAGCUGCUGAAGGCA
rnacentral:rRNA from 1 species